UUUAAACGACACGGUCCUUGUGCUGUUCGUGCACCUUGUUUCGUCGGUGAACGGCUGAAUGGAAACGCUGGCGCAUUGGCCACAGAAGACCUACGGGGGCAGCGGGCCUCACAUUGGACAGUGAGGCGGCCAGUAAGCAGUGACGACAGGCGGAGAUCGGUGACGGACAGCGGUGAUCGAUAAUGGACGUCGUAGUCGAGCGCUUUGGGCCUCACAGUAGACAGUGAGGUGGCCCGGACACGGUGAGGAUGGACGCCAUUGACGGCGGGGGUUGCACAAAAUAAUAAGCAGAAGACAUCCACAGAUUUCAGCUUGUUUUGAGACUGAGCAUCUUCACGAUCCCCGGCCCAGCUCAUCAUUAACUGAAGAAAUCAGAAACCACCCAACCUAAACCGUGUGCUUGGAAACUUGGAUCCUCGUGUCGGUCUGCUCACCCCUCUUCCUCCAGGAACUCUACUGCAUUCCCUUCAGCUUACUUUUCAAUAGAUCCUUAACUAUCAAGCUAAACCAGAGUCUCAGUGCCUGCUUCUGGGUCCACUAGGUUCCCCUUAACAGCAGUUUAGCUUCCAGGUUGUUAAGCAGUGUAAUGCAAUUGAGCUUUAAGAUUUCAUUGAAGCAUUUAAUUUCAGACUCCUGAAUUUUCAGCAGUGUUUUUAGACUACAGUAACUGAAUUUCUCAGAACAACAGGAACGACAACAUCUUGUUCCCUAACAAACAAUGUUUAAGUCCAAAAUGUGAAGCCAAGAUGUGAGAGCUACCUGUGUAGAGUUCCUGGAUCAGAGCACACAGACUGUAGAUGUCAGCCUCCUUUGUGCAGGGUCGCUGUUUAAUGACCUCUGGAGCAGCCCAUCUGUACAGGCUGGGUGGCAGGACUAUGUACAUUGGGGACUGGACACAUGUACUUUCACUGCUGAAGGCAUGCACAUGCACACACACACACACGCACACACACACACACACACGUAAUUUUAACCAGGAUCGU